CCUACGGGUGGCAGCAGUGAGGAAUAUUGGUCAAUGGACGAGAGUCUGAACCAGCCAAGUAGCGUGAAGGAUGACUGCCCUAUGGGUUGUAAACUUCUUUUAUAAAGGAAUAAAACGAGGCACGUGUGCCUUUUUGCAUGUACUUUAUGAAUAAGGAUCGGCUAACUCCGUGCCAGCAGCCGCGGUAAUACGGAGGAUCCGAGCGUUAUCCGGAUUUAUUGGGUUUAAAGGGAGCGUAGAUGGGUUGUUAAGUCAGUUGUGAAAGUUUGCGGCUCAACCGUAAAAUUGCAAUUGAUACUGGCAGUCUUGAGUACAGUUGAGGUAGGCGGAAUUCGUGGUGUAGCGGUGAAAUGCUUAGAUAUCACGAAGAACCCCGAUUGCGAAGGCGACCUGCUGGAACAUUACUGACGCUGAUGCACGAAAGCGUGGGGAGCAAACAGGAUUAGAUACCCUGGUAGUC
rnacentral:rRNA from 1 species